rnacentral:rRNA from 1 species
AACCCUUGUCCUUAGUUACCAGCACGUUAUGUGGGCGACCCUAAGGAGACUGCCGGUGGACAAACCGGAGGAAGGUGGGGAUGACGUCAAGUCAUCAUGGCCCUUACGGCCUGGGCUACACACGUGCUACAAUGGUCGGUACAAAGGGUUGCCAAGCCGCGAGGUGGAGCUAAUCCCAUAAAACCGAUCGUAGUCCGGAUCGCAGUCUGCAACUCGACUGCGUGAAGUCGGAAUCGCUAGUAAUCGUGAAUCAGAAUGUCACGGUGAAUACGUUCCCGGGCCUU